rnacentral:rRNA from 1 species
GUGGGGAAUUUUGGACAAUGGGGGCAACCCUGAUCCAGCCAUGCCGCGUGUCUGAAGAAGGCCUUCGGGUUGUAAAGGACUUUUGUCCGGGAAGAAAAGCGCGAUGUUAAUACCAUUGCGUGCUGACGGUACCGGAAGAAUAAGCACCGGCUAACUACGUGCCAGCAGCCGCGGUAAUACGUAGGGUGCGAGCGUUAAUCGGAAUUACUGGGCGUAAAGCGGGCGCAGACGGUUACUUAAGCAGGAUGUGAAAUCCCCGGGCUCAACCUGGGAAUUGCGUUCUGAACUGGGUGGCUAGAGUGUGUCAGAGGGGGGUAGAAUUCCACGUGUAGCAGUGAAAUGCGUAGAGAUGUGGAGGAAUACCGAUGGCGAAGGCAGCCCCCUGGGAUGGCACUGACGUUCAUGCCCGAAAGCGUGGGUAGCAAACAGGAUUAGAAACCCUGGUAGUCC